rnacentral:SRP_RNA from 1 species
CCGUGCUAGACGGGGAGUUAGCGGUGCCCUGUAGCCCGCAAUCCGCUUCAGCGGGGUCGAAAUCCCUCUCGAGGGCGGCUUGUGUUGAGUGAGCCUCACAGCGCGGCGUCGAAGGUUGGGCCCCACGCAACGAGAAUCGUCGAACCCCGCCAGUUAUGGGGAGUUCGCAGUACGAGUCGAUCGAAGGAGGGUGCACGG